GACGAACCGUCCAAACGUUAUUCGGAAUCACUGGGCUUAAAGGGUGCGUAGGCGGUCCGGGAAGUUGGGUGUGAAAGCCCUCGGCUCAACCGAGGAAUUGCGUCCAAAACUGCCGGGCUCGAGGGAGACAUAGGUGAGCGGAACUUAGGGUGGAGCGGUGAAAUGCGUUGAGAUCCUAAGGAACACCAGUAGCGAAAGCGGCUCACUGGGUCUCUUCUGACGCUGAGUGCACGAAAGCUAGGGGAGCGAAGAGGAUUAGAUACCCUCGUAGUCCUAGCCGUAAACAAUGAGCACUGGUUUGGAGGGUCCUCCAUAGCCUUCCAGACGUAGCGAAAGUGUUAAGUGCUCCGCCUGGGGAGUAUGGUCGCAAGGCUGAA
rnacentral:rRNA from 1 species